CCCUUAGAUGUUCUGGGCUGCACGCGCGCUACACUGAUGCGUUCAACGAGUGUAUAACCUUGCCCGAUAGGGUUGGGUAAUCUUUUGAACACGCAUCGUGAUGGGGAUAGAUUAUUGCAAUUAUUAAUCUUCAACGAGGAAUUCCUAGUAAUGAUGAAUCAUCAGUUCAUCGUGAUUACGUCCCUGCCCUUUGUACACACCGCCCGUCGCUCCUACCGAUUGAGCAAUCCGGUGAAUACUUCGGACUGCAGCACUGCUUGGUCUCCAGGCUUUGCAGCGGAAAGUUUAGUGAACCUUAUCACUUAGAGGAAGGAGAAGUCGUAACA
rnacentral:rRNA from 1 species